rnacentral:rRNA from 1 species
ACAGCAGCCGCCGCGGUAAUACGUAGGUGGCAAGCGUUGUCCGGAAUUAUUGGGCGUAAAGGGCUCGCAGGCGGUUUCUUAAGUCUGAUGUGAAAGCCCCCGGCUCAACCGGGGAGGGUCAUUGGAAACUGGAAACUUGAGUGCAGAAGAGGAGAGUGGAAUUCCACGUGUAGCGGUGAAAUGCGUAGAGAUGUGGAGGAACACCAGUGGCGAAGGCGACUCUCUGGUCUGUAAUUGACGCUGAGGAGCGAAAGCGUGGGGAGCGAACAGGAUUAGAUACCCCGGUAGUCCCUGUCUCUUAUACC